rnacentral:misc_RNA from 1 species
AGGAGGUUGGGCCUGAUGCUGCUCGGAAGUUUUUGGGACAUACACAGUGGCUUGUUAAUUAUUGGCUUCUUCAGCAAGCUUUUAGCAUCGGGAUAGGAGAUACAAUUGCUGAUGCUUCAACGAUGGAGAAAAUUAAUGAAACUAUCUCGAAUGCAAAAGCCAAAGUCAAAGAACUUAUUAAAGCUGCUCAAGAGAAGCUGUUAGAAGCUGAACCAGGGCGAACUAUGAUGGAAUCAUUUGAGAACAGAGUGAACCAGGUGUUAAAUAAGGCUCGUGAUGAUGCUGGAAGCAGUGCAGAGAAGAGUUUAUCAGAGAGCAAUAAUCUUAAAGCUAUGGUUACUGCUGGAUCGAAGGGAAGUUUUAUCAACAUAUCUCAAAUGACUGCCUGUGUGGGGCAACAGAAUGUUGAAGGAAAACGUAUUCCAUUUGGUUUCAUAGACCGUACUCUUCCUCAUUUUACCAAAGAUGAUUAUGGUCCGGAAAGUCGUGGUUUUGUAGAGAAUUCAUAUCUCCG